rnacentral:ncRNA from 1 species
UGGCUGAGAAAAGAGUUUUAAUUUUAUUAAGAGACUAUGACAAUAAGUAGUCUCAGGCGACAGGCACAAAACGGAGAGAAACUAUGUUUGAA